rnacentral:ncRNA from 1 species
UAAAGCCAAGGGCAAACCCGCUGAAAACCGGGGGCGCAAAGCCGAGGGUCUAAGACGUUUUGGAACGUUAUGAUAGCCUGGCUGCCAAA